rnacentral:rRNA from 2 species
ACGGGGUGCAGCAGGCGCGAAACCUUUGCAAUGUGCGAAAGCACGACAAGGUUAAUCCGAGUGUCUCCUGCUAAAGGAGUCUUUUGUCAGUUGUAGAAUCACUGAUGAAUAAGGGGGGGGCAAGUUCUGGUGUCAGCCGCCGCGGUAAAACCAGCACCUCGAGUGGUCAGGAGGUUUAUUGGGCCUAAAGCAUCCGUAGCCGGUUGCAUAAGUUUUCGGUUAAAUCUAUGCGCUCGACGUAUAGGCCGCCGAAAAUACUGUGCAGCUAGGGAGUGGGAGAGGUACACGGUACUCAAUAGGAAGGGGUAAAAUCCUUUGAUCUAUUGAUGACCACCUGUGGCGAAGGCGGUGUACCAGAACACGUUCGACGGUGAGGGAUGAAAGCUGGGGGAGCAAACCGGAUUAGAUACCCGGGUAGUCCCAGCUGUAAACGAUGCAGACUCGGUGAUGCAUUGGCUUGUGGCCAAUGCAGUGCCGCAGGGAAGCCGUUAAGUCUGCCGCCUGGGAAGUACGUACGCAAGUAUGAAACUUAAAGGAAUUGGCGGGGGAGCAC